rnacentral:rRNA from 1 species
CGUAGGGCGCGAGCGUUGUCCGGAUUUAUUGGGCGUAAAGAGCUCGUAGGCGGCUUGUCGCGUCGACUGUGAAAACCCGGGGCUUAACUUCGGGCUUGCAGUCGAUACGGGCAGGCUGGAGUUCGGUAGGGGAGACUGGAAUUCCUGGUGUAGCGGUGAAAUGCGCAGAUAUCAGGAGGAACACCGGUGGCGAAGGCGGGUCUCUGGGCCGAUACUGACGCUGAGGAGCGAAAGCGUGGGGAGCGAACAGGAUUAGAUACCCUGGUAGUCCACGCUGUAAACGUUGGGCGCUAGGUGUGGGGGGCCUCUCCGGUUUCCUGUGCCGUAGCUAACGCAUUAAGCGCCCCGCCUGGGGAGUACGGCCGCAAGGCUAA